GGGGGGUGUCCAGGUCUAGGGGUCUUCUGUAAUUCACUCUGCUGUUCUGGAAGGGGGGUUACCUGGUAGUCUUAAGGGGUCAUUGGAAGUAUUAACGUCCUUCCCUAUGUCCCUUCUAGUUUCCCGGGCAGAGGGCAUGUUGGGUCCCUAAGCCCUAGCUGCCUACGGGCUCCAUCUUGGCUGUUUCCCAUCCCUGUCCAAGCCCCCAACUGUUGAAUGUUCAGUCACUGAGACAGUGCCUUUUACAAGUGCAGUUUGUCCUCUGGCUGUGAGCAUCAAGUGGCUGCGGAGAUUCCCCUCAUCUCCUCAGACAGUGGGAACCUUGUUCAAAGAACUGAUUAAGUUCUGAACCCUCCCCCCUUUCCUCCUGUGUGUGGAAGAGAAGACCCUGGCCCUGCAAAGUCUAUGUGUGACUUUGGCAUUGUGAACACUUCAUUUUCUCCUGCCCUACCCUGACCCAGGAACCCAAUCUAGCAAGACUGGAGGUGACAGUCACUGGGGGGCCCAGAGCCGAGGGUUGGGGUGGGUAACCCCUGACAAGCACAGACUCCAGUUCUGCCAAAAGCUAACGGCCCUCCAGUCCACUUCCUCACCCCCAGCGGAGGCCAGGCAGGGAUAGGACAGAGGCAUCUAGAAGCACAAGAAGAUAAAGAAUGGGCCCACCCCAACUCUACCUGGUGGACCACCUAUUAUGGGCAAACCUUGCCCACCUGGUUUUCCUCAAGUGUACAUAGAUCUGGGGGGCGGGGGGAGGACAGGGUAUUGGCUUAGUGUGUGAGGUUCUAAACCCAUGGGUCUGUUUGUACCAUGUCCUGAGUCUAAGGUCCUGUGACUAUACCCUCCUGUCCUGGGUCAUUUGUAUCUCUUGGCUUUGUAAUAAAUGCUGCCUACACUCUUAA
rnacentral:lncRNA from 1 species